rnacentral:tRNA from 1 species
GGGCGAUUGGCUCAGCGGUAGAGCGCCUCGUUCACACCGAGGAGGUCACUGGUUCGAAUCCAGUAUCGCCCACCA